rnacentral:misc_RNA from 1 species
AACCAUAGAAACCUGCGGAGUACCUGCGGAAGGAUCAUUACACAAUACAAUAUGAAGGCUGUCCGCAGCUGGAGUAUUUUAUUACCCUUGUCUUUUGCGCACUUGUUGUUUCCUGGGCGGGUUCGCUCGCCACCAGGACCACCAAAUAAACCUUUUUUAUGCAGUUGCAAUCAGCGUCAGUACAAACAAUGUAAAUCAUUUACAACUUUUAACAACGGAUCUCAGAUCGGAAGAGCACAC